GAUUUCUGGGCCCAAGAAUUUGGCCGGCCACGGUUUCGUGUGUUAGUGCUUUGUUCUGUGUCCAUCCUUCCAAUUGCUAUUGGCUAUUCUUCAUUGAUUGGUCAGUAGUAUUGGAUCUUUUACUUUGAAAAAAUUAGAGUGUUUCAAGCAGGCUUUAUGCUACGAAUACAUUAGCAUGGAAUAAUAAUUUAGGACUUCUGUUCUAUUUUGUUGGUUUCUAGGACUGGAGUAAUGAUUGAUAGGGACAGUUGGGGGUGCUAGUAUUCAGCGGCCAGAGGUGAAAUUCUCGGAUUCGCUAAAGACUAACUUAUGCGAAAGCAUU
rnacentral:rRNA from 1 species